CCCCUAGACGUUCUGGGCUGCACGCGCGCUACAAUAAUACGCACAGCGAGUAUCACCGAGCUCGAAAGGGCAAGGUAAACAAUAGAAAAGGUACUGUAAUGGUUAUAGAUCCUUGUAAUUAUUGAUCUUCAACGAGGAAUUCCUAGUAAGUAUGUGUCAUCAUCACGCACUGAUUACGUCCCUGCCCUUUGUACACACCGCCCGUCGCUCCUACCGAUUGGGUGAGCCGAUGAAACUCUCGGAUGUAGGCUAUUCAUAGCCCGCAGAAGAGAUUUGAAUCGUAGCGCUUAGAGGAAGGAGAAGUCGUAACAA
rnacentral:rRNA from 1 species